UUGAGUCUCUACUAUCGACUGGAAAGACACAUACAUGCAGGGACUGUCAAGACUUCACGUCUCACUAUCAAAACUGAAAUCAAGAAAAUGUCCUUCAUGAUUCUACCAUGAUAUUGACUACUACUGAAUUUUCACCUUACACCUCAUGGUGGGGACCACAGUCACCCAAUUGGGAAUCUUAAAUGUGAUGUGUACAAUCAGAUUCCAGAGCAGCCAGGACAAGUGGGAACUCUCAACUUCCAACAACAAG